GAUGAACGCUAGCGGCAGGCUUAAUACAUGCAAGUCGUGGGGCAGCAUGAGUAGCAAUACUUGAUGGCGACCGGGCAAAACGGGUGAGGGAACACGUACACAACCUUCCUUCAAGCGGGGAAUAGCCCAGAGAAAUUUGGAUUAAUACCCCAUAAUAUAUUUGAUAAGGCAUCUUAUUAAAUAAUUUAAAAGCUUCGGCACUUGAUGAUGGGUGUGCGGCUGAUUAGAUAGUUGGCGGGGUAACGGCCCGACCAAGUCUACGAUCAGUAGCUGAUGUGAGAGCAUGAUCAGCCACACGGGCACUGAGACACGGGCCCGAUUCCUACGGGAGCAGCAGUAAGGAUAUUGGACAAUGGACGAAAGUCUGAUCCAGCCAUGCCGCGUGAAGGAUUAAGGUCCUCUGG
rnacentral:rRNA from 1 species